AGCUCAGUGAUAGAGCGCUUGCCUUGUAUGCAUGAGGCCCUGGGUUCGAUUCCUCAG
rnacentral:tRNA from 1 species